GUCGGUGUCGGCGUCGGCGUCGGCGGAGCCUCGUCGCUAGCGGCCAGCAAGUCACCACUGAGUCACCACCACACGCACGAGUCGAUGACCAGCGGUCAGGGCUUGACUGCGGUGAGCGCCGGUCUGCGGAUACCGAUGUCCAGUCCGCCGUCGUGCAGUCUUAGCCAACGGUCGCAUCUAGACAAUUUGUCCGAAUCAUCAUAGUAGCGUUGUGAUUCACCUAGAAUCUUCGAUACACGAAUAUUAUUUUAGGUAACAAUCAAAUGAGGUAGAAUCAAUGACGCACAUAGGCCUACUCGCACUUCGCUUACUGGAUCAACGUGCCGGAAGUGACGUCGUGUACUGCAGGUUCAGCAGAGGUCAAGUAUUGAUGACGUGGCACGUGAAGCACUGAUAGUUACUUUCUGAUUCACCACGUCACGCAUUCACGCAAGGUGACUCGUCAGUCAAACCGGUCACCUGAUGCGCGCAACGUGAACAAGUUAUGUGAUUCACGCCACGUUAACAGGUCACGUGGCACACGCCACGUGAGCAGGUCACGUGGUACACGCCGCAUGAGCAGGUCACGUGGUACACGCCACGUGAACAGGUCACGUGGUACACGCCACGUGAGCAGGUCAAGUGUUGUGAAUGACCUUUAAAACCCUCGCGAAGACUGCACCUGAAAAAUAAUAAAUUAUUAUGAAACUAUUGUAAUACAAUUGCUUUCAUUUUUAUCUUCACUUAUAUUAUAAUGAAACACGCGAAAUAAAUUGAUGCAGUAACGUAUAUAGUUUUAUUUGACAGAAAUGCUAAAAAUUUUAUUAAAGAAUAUAUUGUUUGCUUGUAACAUCAUCGAUGCACAUUACUCGCGUUCAACCAGGACCGGAGAUAAAGCAUCCCUAUGCUCGUACUUAUUCAAUGUUGUGUUCUAAAUAUUUUUUGUUGAAAAGUGAUACGUACUGUUUCUAACAACACACUACUGUUCAAAGUUUGUAAAUCUAUACCACCGUGUAGCCGUAAACAAAUACAUUAUAUAGAUAUGAUUAUAUAGUAUAUAUGUUGUGUUAUUUCACAGAUUCAGGUAUGAUAUUGUGUAUACCGCAUACUAACAGGGUAAAUUAUUAUUAAAAUUUUAUAAUAACGUAUUUUCCGUUCAAAGUCAAAUCCUUGAACAAAAUAUAUAUUGUUGUUUGUUUAUUUGUUGCGUUGUUUGUAGUUGAUAAAUUGGCACUUUGAGUUGUCAACAAACGUUGGAUUAACGACAGAAGCGCCACCGCGGACUAACAGAUGUUCGUGGUAAUCGUACCUGUAAAUAUAUUUCAUGUAAAUACGUGAAAAUAAAACGCUACUUAAUAUGAUA